GGAGAAGCUACUUGAUUUGUCUAAUACAGAUGUCUACAGAUGUCUCAAAACUAAUCAGUUCAAAUUACUUUGUAGAAUGUGAGCCUGAUUGCAUUUGUGCAAUUCAAUUGCAUCAAUUGCAUUUCACCUGUACAAAGGUUCUGACUAAUGCGGCUGCAGAGGUUUCCUUAACAGUGGCUAAUUCGAACACCUGUUGUACUAUGUCAAUCAGCUCAUUGAGGUUUCGAGGGAAUGUGCUGAUGUUGUCUGCCAGGUGAGGAAGGUGCUUGCGUCCACCUUGAAACCAAGGAUUAAAUUCAUCCAUAUUUAUCCAAAAAUGUCACCGAGAUAGUCCCGUUUUAUCAUAAACUGUUUAUGUUUAUGUUUUUAAGUUUAUGUAAAUGCUUCUUCAAAAACAUCCAAAUAUCGUCUCUGACGUCAAAGACUUGCCACAACACCUCACUUCACAAGAACCACCGAGUCUUGGUGUGAAACAGCACAGCUGAAUGUUCAGCUCACAUCUCUUCACAAAGACGGUCUCUGGUUUUGUUCCGUUGAAAUGAACCACACUCCAAAACCUUGUUUAGUUCAGCGCUAAAGCUAAGCUACUCUGCUUCGAUGCUUUUGCUCCUCGUAUCACACCAUCUUUCCACUGUGCAUUUAGUGAAAUGUUCCAGGUUAGUGCCUUUCUUCCUUUUCCCUAAUAUAGUUUGUGCACCAUUCAUGCAAACUCCCACGCAUUUCCCCAGUUUCAGCCCACAUUCUGCUAGGUAUCAACCAAGAAGUCUCAAGAGCUUGUCGUACUUGGAAAACAGCAAAUUCUCUCACCAUAAAUAUGAUGUGACAAAGUGAACCAAAGCUUUUGUGGCCUAGUGUAAGGAUAAAUAUUUGUCUUUCAGUUCUUUGUAGAUUCUUUUCCCCAAGUCAUUUGAAAUGUUGUAAAUAUGUGUAGUGAUUUUACCUGUAGUCACUGCGAGGUGGCAGUUAGGUCGGCUUAGUCUGACACGUGGGUCUUCAAAUUAAAAGUGUCUCUACUCG
ensembl:lncRNA